AGAGACAGAGCUCUGGGCUGGGAGAAAGCUCUGUUUAAGGUUAAGGGCCCCCUCCAUCUCCGGGACCGAAUGUUCUCCUGGCCUCUGAGUCAGCGGGGCGUCCUUGACUAAACCGGAGCCGACGAACCUUCUCUGGUCACUAACAUGCGAUGAAUCAAUGCCAGCCAUAAAUCAGCCCCGAAAUGCCAGUGUGGAAACAGCAUCUGGGAGCCUCUUGCAGCUCUCCUUUGGUAAGAGCGUGUAGGGCUCUGUGCAGAGGCACUUAGGGGCCCGCAGUAAUGACGAAGCUCGUGCAUUUGGAGAACGUUUCCCUGAGCUGUGACACCCGCAUUAGCAUAUCAGUGGACAGUCUGAAGAGCCUUCAAAAAACUGCACGUACCAGUGGGAUGAACGCAGGACCAGAAAGAAAACAUUUAUCCCCCAAAGUCUCGCUGGCUUUUCUCAGCCACUAGGCCCCCCCACCCCCUUCAGGGGCCUGGCACUCACAUGUGGCUUCCUGAGGCAUCGUUCCACGCUUUUCCUGACUCCCACUGAGGAUCAGAGGGGAUAUCAGUUGUGGGAAGAAAUGUGUCUUAGGUCUGGUCAGUGGCAGGCGGAGACAGGGCUCCUGUGGCAGCUGCCAGGGAUGGCCACGUUGGCAGGGAAGCAGUAUCACUGAUCCCUGUAGUUGUCAUUGGACACAAUGAUCCCAUCCGACUCAAAAGCCAGCUUCACGAUGAACCUGUCGUCGUAGCACACCACCCGCCUCCCCUGCACUCGUCGGGAUGGCGUGAACACUAGGAUUUUCUCCUUCUCUAAUUUACGCAGAAUUUCUUGAUCUGCAAGGACGAUUGGGGUAGAAUUUCAGGAGUAAGUACAUACAGGACACACAAAGUAACUUUCAUACAACGUGAGCUUUUAUAAUAGGAACUGGAUUUAUGUAACCAUUUAAUUAGGGAUUAUGAUUUACAGUUUGUAGAUAGAACACAUUUUUAAUUCCCAGUAUUUUUCCUCGAGGAUUGCAAUAAUAAAGCCUAUAUAAACAGCCCCCAAAGUAAUUAAAAGCUGAUUUAAAACUUUAACAGAAUAAAAUGCAAUUUGCUCAGUUAUGUUUUUCAUUACGUAAGGUUUUGCUGGAGAGCUGGAGCCCUGCAGGACGGCACACACACAGCCAUAUGCCCAGUGCACCACCAUUCGGACAGAACAGUGGUGCUGGGCUCAGGUGUGUCCUCCCUGCCAACCCCGUUUAUUCUGUAGUUCUGUUUUUGCUUAGUGGAUGUGAUAGGGGAGAGUCUGAGGAGCACCAGAAGUAGUUGAGGUAGCAAGGGGAAGAGUCUUAUGAUGUGGAAGGUUCACAGAGGAGGCAGGGAAGUCAGAACUGUUGUUACAGACGUGAUCAGUGUGUGUUUUGUGUCCUUGGCCGUGAAACGUGUGGCACAAAUGCAAGCAUCCUCACAGGCUGGACUGCGAGAAGAGAAGAGGUGAGAAAUGAUUAGAGGGGAAAGCUGCCACAGACAGAAUAAAGGUAGGCACAGAAAUGCUCUUUUGGCUUCUGUUGGCAUAUUCUUACAGCACUUGGUAACUCUGACUUGUUUAGUGGGCUUUAUAAAAAAAUAUGAACUUUAUAUAGAGUUCAUAUUUUCAUGAAUGGUAAAAAAUCUCUCAUCAUCCCUUCUUCCUGCUGUGCCUCUUCCUGUCUUCCCACCGUUGUACAUUCUGGCCCGGAGUCCUGAUGCCAUAAUUAAAAUAAAAAAAGGCUACUUUUUCAUGUUGAACUGGAAUUGCUAAGCUUUAAAAAAAAUCUCUCUGGUGACCAGAUAUGGCCUGCCUGUGCUGUGGUAUGUCAAGCAUCCACGGCCACUGAGAUUAAGAAUGACCUUGCCUCACAAAGGAAAUCUGCAAAUCAGCACUCAGCCCAGGAAGCACAGCAGGAGAUACUCAGCAAGUGUCUGUAGAAUGAGUACAUGCAAUACUUAAAGAUGAGUAUUUGGAGGUCUUCCAGUUUAUUCACUGUUCAUGAAUAAGCCAUGCUACUUUAUUUGUGUGAGUGUUUCCUCAUACAUGCUAUGCAAUGAAGUGAUUAGAGAAGUAAGUGUGGUGGCCUAAUGGUCAACAUCAUCUUGCUUAAUUUGCUUUUUCUAUAAUACCUAGUGAGGUUAAAAAGGACACCAAUUAGGAUAAAUAAUCCUAACUUAAACAGAUAUGGCUAGUAAGCUGAACUGAAUCUCUCAUUCCUUGCGUAGCACCUGAUACAGAGUUUGGCGCUUGUAAAAUAGGCGUUAACUUGCUGGAAAACGUACUAGUCUAAAUCUCUAUGUGAGAGCCGGAAAAUAUUUGUCAAGUAUCUUUUUCAGUACAGUGGAAAAAUAACAGACUAUUCAUUCAAUUUACCAGGUUUUAUCUAGAAUUUUUCCCUGGGGUGGGGGCUGGGGGGUAACACCUAUGGACCUCUGAGCAGGGAUGAGGGUGCUGACCCCUCACUCUUGACUACUGGGGGGAAGCCCACUGUGUGACCACCAACACAUGUCUUCUCCAUUAUGGGUAGUGUAUACUGUAUUCUUAAAGCCAGCCAGAGAGAAGAAAAUGUUAUGAAGAAAAUCCUAAAAGAAAUUACAUUUACUGUAUUGUAAAAAAGUAUUGUAAAAUUACUGUAUUGUAAAAAAGUCCACUUCUAAGUGGACCCAGGCAGUUCAAACUUGUGUUGUAGAAUGAGUACAUGGAAGUGUCAAGUGGAGCUGUACGCAUUUUACAGAGUCCAUGCAGUCUGAAGCAUUCCAGACACCUGGCAUGCUGGUAUUUUAAAAAUUAAAAGCAGUCACCUCCGCCACCCCCCCGCCCCACCCCACCCAUGGCCAUUUCCCCUUCUUCUGGGGCGCACGUUCCUUUCCUGCUCAAGCUUUCCGAUAUUUACAGCUUUAAAUGCUUUUUCUUUUUCAAUUUAUCUUUCCCCUAGUCAUCAUACGUGCCCUGAGCAAGUCCAAUGGCCAGUAAGUGGCAAAGCCAGAAUUUUAAUCUAGGUAUCCUAACUCUUACCAUGUCUCAAAAAUUUUACAAAAUUUGAAGUAAAAAGCUUCCAAGUUAAAAAAAAAAAAAAAGACCCCAAACAGUUGGUUUAUGGAGGAAGGAUUACGGUUUCCUUAACAUAAUCUGGGAGUAUGUAAACUCACUGACAACGCUGAGGUCUCACCCAAGAGAAAGUGGCAGUCACACAGACUGAGUAAACAGAAACAGAUGGACAUCUUCGUCAGCAACAUCUGAUGGUGCUAGAUAACCUGCCCAGGUGUGCAUGGAAGCUACCAACGAACAGCUCACGGAGCUUACCUGUGAUGAGAGCAUCGGGUCGGGACUGCUCUUUUCUCCAGGCAGGAACAAAAACUGUAACAUCUUUGUGGCCUCUUUCCAAAAACCAAUCCACUGCCAAUUUUAUUCCCCGGCAGGAAAACACUUCUUUGUUUCCAUGGCUGAAAGAUGAUUUUAGAACACGUUAAAAACACAACAAAAUCUCAAUUCGACUUAAUUCAAAUUUGUCAUCAGAAGUGAUCACAUAAUUACAAUAGUAAUGGAUCUCAAGUUUCAGAGGGAGUUGUAGAUCUCAGAGGAACAUGGAGAUAACCUGAAAAGUUGAAAAUCUGCGAGGAGAACUAUGAAAAUUGGGAUAAUUAUUGUGGGGAGAAUAAAGAAAAAUGAUUUUUUAAAUGUCAAGUUGUAAAGGUUAACUAGUCUGAAAGAUACAAGCUCUUUUUAAUCAGGAUGAGGGAAAAAGGGGGUCUCCACCACCGCAAGAACGUCAGUCAAAUGUGAAAAGAAGUUACACAUAGAAAAAAGUCUAUGAACAGAAUAUCAUGUUCAUAGUGCUUCCUUCCCCUGUCCUUCAAUGAAAAGACAUGGUUUCUGUUUAAUACUGUGUUGGACAAAGAUUAAUGAGAAGAGGGCAUUCACAAGUGGAUUAAGCAGUCUUAGUACCUACAAGAAAAUGCCCAGAUAAAAGUGUAGUCACUCAAUACAUAUUUAUCUAGCACCAGACUCUGCCCAUGCCCUUUAACCAAUAAUUAAAAAAUAACACUGGUUCUAAUGUUUUUAAAAAGAAACCUUCUCCUACUUUGUUUUUUUUUUUUUUCCUUCUCCUACUUUGAAUGUAACAAUUGUUUUUGUUUUUGUGUUCUUUGCAGCUUGAGAGCUCCAUAGUGGAGACAGAUAUUCUUUACUUCUUGGUGUUAAGGAGGGCUGAAUGAAAUACGGCAAAAGAUAUGAACAGUGAAGAGGAAACCCAAAUGACCAACGAACAUAUGAAAAGAUGCUCAAUAGUGAAGACAUGCAAAUUAAAGCCAAAAAUGAGACACCACUUCACACCCAUCAGAUUGGAAAAAAUAAAGUCUGCAAACACCAGAUGUUGCCAAGGAUGUGUGAAAGUAGGAACUCAUACAUUACAGGUGGGAGUGUAAAUUGGUAUAACUAUUCAGGAGAACAAUUUGGCAGUACUUUAUAAAGUUGAAGGCGUGCUUUCUCUAAAACAUAGUAAUUCCAUAUCCAGGUAUAGUAACACCCCACACUAAUGUGAAAUCAAGUUUAUGCAAUUAGCAAUUGGCUCUCAUGCUUGACCUAGACUUGGAGCUCAUGUGGGGGGCAGGGAGAGGCAGGCAAGUGUGUCUGUGUAGCGUGGGUCUCUGAGUCUCUGAAACUUUCCCAGCCAAUCUUCUACUGAUCAGACCAAAGAAAUGAAUGCUAACCAUGGAAUCCCUGGAACGGCUGCUGUUGCCUUGGAAGUACCUCCCAGCUACCAAGGCCCAGAAUCAUUAAAAGCCCAUGCAGAUAAAUGACAGGUGCUUCCAAACUGCAGAUGGGCUUCCAAACAGCCUAGGAGGGCUUUAGGAGACUGCACUUAGUCUAACCGUAUUGAGGCACAUUGAAAAAUGUGCAGCCUCCUGUGUGCUGGAUACAAUACAAAGGAGGUCCUGAUAAAGAAUUAUAAGAACAGGGGAUCCCUGGAUGGCUCAGUGGUUUAGCGCCUGCCUUCGGCCCAGGGUGUGAUCCUGGAGUCCUGGGAUCGAGUCCCAUGUCAGGCUUCUGCAUGGAGCCUGCUUCUCCCUCUGCCUGUGUCUCUGCCUCUCUCUCUCUGCGUCUCUCAUGAAUAAAUAAAUAAAACCUUAAAAAAAAAAGAAUUAUAAAAACAGGACAUCAGAGCAAGCACAAUGUAGCUACCUGUGCAAAUGAACUAUCUGUUGAGUAUUUACUAAAAUAAGUAGGAUGAUGUUUAAGAACUGAAGUUUUAAUUCCAUAUAAAUAGAGGAGAAAAUUCAUUAUAGUUCUGUAGUCACUUAUGGGCUAUGCCUGCAUGUAUUUUCUCAGUAGUAAAAAUAGCUAAUUCUAUAUUUAUGAAUUGGCAUGUGCCUCUGGGUCUUGAUUUCUUUUUUAUUUCAACUAUUUGGCAAUAAAGAUGGUAUACCUCAA